GGCCAUCCUCGCCGCCGCCUGUCUCGUGAUCAUGUUCAGUGUGCAGCCCCCUCGCCCGCUGAUGGGUCCCGGCGGCACCGACCAGGCCGCAGAUGGCGACAGGGAGCUCCGGCGCGAGAAGAAGGUGGCCAUGCGGGCGCGCGCCAAGGCCAGUUCCAAGCGGCGCGAGACGUAGAGUGCCAAGAGGAAGAGGGAGGAGGAGGAGCGGCUCGACGCGG
rnacentral:lncRNA from 1 species